rnacentral:rRNA from 1 species
AGAGUUUGAUCCUGGCUCAGAACGAACGCUGGUAGCGUGGAUUAGGCAUGCAAGUCGAACGGGAUCACGAGGAUAGCAAUAUUCUUGUGUGAGAGUGGCGGAUUGGGGAGGAACACGUGAACAACCUGCCCGUGAGUUGGGGAAAACCAUUGGAAACGAUGGCUAAUAUCCGAUGUGGCGCCCGAGGACAUCCUCGGAACGCUAAAGGGGGCCGCAAGGCUCCCGCUCGUGGAGGGGUUCGCGCACCAUCAGCUUGUUGGCGGGGUAACGGCCCACCAAGGCCUACGGUUAGCUGGUCUGAGAGGAUGACCAGCCCCACUGGGACUGAGAUACUGCCCAGACUCCUACGGGAGGCUGCAGUCGAGGAUCAUUUGCAAUGGGCGAAAGCCUGACAAUGCGACGCUGCGUGGAGGAUGAAGGCCUUCGGGUUGUAAACUCCUGUCAUAGGGGAACAGGCGAUCCGACCCAAUACGUCGGUGAGUUGAGUGUACCCUAAGAGGAAUUGGCGGCUAACUCCGUGCCAGCAGCCGCGGUAAUACGGGGGAUGCAAGCGUUGUCCGGAAUCAUUGGGCGUAAAGAGUUCGUAGGUGGCAUGUUAAGUCUGGUGUUAAAUGCAGGGGCUCAACUUCUGUUCGGCACUGGAUACUGGCAAGCUUGAAUGCGGUAGAGGUAAAGGGAAUUCCUGGUGUAGCCGGUGAAAUGCGUAGAUAUCAGGAGGAACAUCGGUGGCGGUAAGCGCUUUUACUGGGCCGUAAUUGACACUGAGGAACGAAAGCCAGGGGUAGCAAAUGGGAUUAGAUACCCCAGUAGUCCUGGCCGUAAACGAUGGAUACUAGGUGUUGCGGGUAUCGACCCCUGCAGUGCUGAAGCAAACGCGAUAAGUAUCCCGCCCGGGGAGUACGCACGCAAGUGUGAAACUCAAAGGAAUUGACGGGGACCCGCACAAGCGGUGGAACAUGUGGUUUAAUUCGAAGCAACGCGAAGAACCUUACCAGGGCUUGACAUCUAACGAACCUAGCGGAAACGUUGGGGCGCUUUUCGGAGAACGUUAAGACAGGUGGUGCACGGUUGUCGUCAGCUCGUGUCGUGAGAUGUUGGGUUAAGUCCCGCAACGAGCGCAACCCACGUUGUCAGUUGGUACUGUCGGUAUACUUACAGUAACCUCUCUGGCGAGACUGCCGGUGAUAAACCGGAGGAAGGUGUGGACGACGUCAAAUCAUCAUGCCCCUUAUGCUCUGGGCUACACACGUGUUACAAUGGCUGGUACAACGAGUCGCCAACUUGCGAGAGUGAGCAAAUCUCUAAAAACCAGUCUCAGUUCGGAUUGCACUCUGCAACUCGAGUGCAUGAAGUCGGAAUCGCUAGUAAACGCAGAUCAGCACGCUGCGUUGAAUACGUUCCCGGGUCUUGCACUCACCGCCGGUCA